rnacentral:lncRNA from 1 species
UCAAAUCCUCCCCAAAACAUUCAUCUCCUUAGAUUUUUAAUAAAUUUUCAGUAAUCAUUCCGCACAACUCGCCAGAAUCGAAGUGUUAGUGUUCAAUUUGGCCGGAAAAUGUUUGCCCACAUCGAAUCUACCUUUAACCAGGCCCCCACCCUUAUUUCUCGCCGAAAUAACUCCCGUAGUCGGAUCCGGUUCUUCUCGCCGGAAAAAUGUUGUUGAAGGACGCAUGUGCUGAAAAUCCUCCAUUACCGAUGAACGGCGGAGGGCUGGGGGAUUCAAGCACUUGGCGUUGGUGAAGAAAACUUGUCGGUGGAGGAGAAGAUUGGAGAAGGCCAGUGGUGGGAGGAAAGGGGCGGCAGUAGGAG